CUCUGAUGUAAUGAUUCUAGCAGCUCCUGCUAGGGGAAUUUCCCACACAGGCUGUGUGUGAGGCUGGCUGUGAUUGGUCAAAACUCUUGCUAUGUGUGAGGCUGGCUGUGAUUGGUCUAGACUCCUGCCCAGCAACAACAGUUUAACUCUAGGCUUUCUGUUGUGUCUGCUGUGUCAUUGAGCUUAC